AUCAGGGUUGCAGCUAGGAGAUUAGUUAUGUAGGCUUGUUUCUGAUAGUAUUUUAAUGUCCGUGGGAAACUUCUCCUAAAGUCCCAGGAGUAAGUAGCUUUCGGGAUUCGCCUUACUUUUUAGUACUCAUGUAUAUCAUAUAUUAUUCAGCUGGGACAGCAUCCUGGUGAGCUUUUCUUGUCGCCUUGGCCUUGUCCAAAAAGCGUUUUUUACCAGUGGGGAGCUGGGUGAAUGGUUUUGGCCCAGCAAAGGUCUCUGAACCAACCAGAUGCUGCGUCAUCACGUUCCUAGCAGUAGGCUGAGCGAAUAUCCCUGGAGCUGACUGACUAGCUAGCUGCCUCUACUCGAUUGGCGAGAAGUAUCC
rnacentral:lncRNA from 1 species